rnacentral:lncRNA from 1 species
AUUGGAAAUAUUAGGUUUUAUUAUUUUACCAGGGAAGUGCUUGGAUCUCAGUAUCUCAGCUAAUACAAGUUUUAAACAGUAAUAAAUCUAUGAACUCUCAAAACAGUCUUCUACCCUCACACUGUUACACACAUCCUACUGUCUGCAUUCUGUAAAGGUGUUCAAGUGCACUGUGGCAUCUACUGUGCAUUCUCUAUGUUGAAGGAUAUACUGCUUACAAUCUGUUCCUUCAUGUUAAUGGUGACCCUCCCAUCACUACAAUGGCCCUUAAUAACUGACAAUCAAUUCCUUUAAGAUUUUUUCCAAAAUUGUGGUCCUCUCUGGCAGUAGUAUCACCUUGCCUAUGAACCUACUGUAGACGCAGGACCUCCAGCCUGCCUAGAAGCCUGAUCUACACAAGGGCUUCUCAACCUAAGAGGCUGCCCUGGUUACUUUCCUGUCAACUUGGCACAAGAUAGAGUUUUCUGAGAAGAGGAACCUCAUUUAAGAUCAGAUGGAUUGUAGGUGGUUGGAUGGUAUUCUGAAAAAUAAGAAAUAAAGGUUAAGGAGUGCCUGCCUUCAACCAGGCAGAGCAAGGCAGAUCUUAGUGAUAAACAUAUGAUGCUACGUACAACUUCUCAUUCUUCUCCUCAGUCCAGACCAUACCACUCAUGACUCAGAAUCAUGUGUGAUCUCAGGCCCCUCCUAUGUUUGUUAGUAGAAUCAGCACCUGGAUGAUACAAGAUAUAAUGAAAAAAUGACAUCAAUGAGAAUUCACCCACUGGCAGACAAGGAAAGAGAAAUCCACACUUGAACCUCACGUUUUGAUGUAUUACUUAUGGAGUGUUCCUGUGACCUGUUAGCCACUGGAGUGUGUUCUCAGCAAAUGAUUAUAGACACCUAAUCCCUCACAUUUGACAACCUGUGUCGUAAGAGCCUUACCAUAUUUCAAUCCUGCAGAGGUGUUGCUCUGCAGAGGAGGGAGGGUCAUGAAGGAAAACGUCCCCAGCAUGUCUUCAGACUGUGUGUGAGGAAGUGGGAAGAGCCCAUAGCUGCACAUUGCCCAUUUUUCAGAGUGAAGAUUAAAGGUUUUGUUGUGUCUGUAUGGGCAUCUCCACAUCUGAUAAUAUACCAUAUGACUAUCUAACUUUCCUAUUUGCCUUAUUUGGCCUAAAUUGUUGCUUGGCUGAAGUGUUCAAUCCUAGUCCCUCAAACAUGCCUAUGUUACCAUGUCCCUUUCUCUUGCCUUUGUCAAAGCUUAACAUAUUCUCAAGAAAGGGAUCAGAAUGUCUGGGACUCUAUAUUUUACCUAUACUGAGUGGCAGUUAUAACUCAUUACCAUACUCACACUCUUCUGUCUGAAAGACAGGCCUGCUUUUCUUAGUUAUAAAAUUUGUCCCAUUUUUUUGAUCUCCAAGUCUAGUGGAUGAGCUAUCUCAACUGUGCAUAGAGUAUUUGGCUAUGCUGGCUCCUAACAAGAUGCCAAGUGGUUCACUUGCUUUAUUACUCUUUCCAAAUUGAACAGCCAGCUCAGAGAGAUACACUGUGGCAUCUGCGGAGUGGACAAAAAUAGACAAUCAGUAAUUAGUUAAUAGACAACAAUUUUAGAAAUAAGAAACAAAAACUGAACAUUUUACAUGUGUUUAGAGUCCAACAUUUCUCCAUUUAGCUAAUUUACAUUGAGUCUCUGAUUUUUAUGAAGAUACUAUCUAAGUAUUUAUAAAUUAAGAGGAGGCCUAGUCCAUCAAAACUUUAUAGGCCUCCAUGGGCAGACCAUUGUUACUGAGUGGCUUUUAUAAGUCAGGUACAGACAUGUUGGAGUAACUGUACCAUCUUAUCAGCAUCUACAGUAAGCAACAUUAAACUCUAGGAUAUAAGCUGUAUCAUUUUUUUUUUUUUGUUCCUCACAGAGCUUUGUGUAAACCAUAUAAUUUUUCUUAGGUUCUGGGUUCACAUCCAUAAAGAUAGAAAACAACUCCAAGAAUCAUUUUGGUCCUGACUGUUUUUCACUAGGU